rnacentral:snRNA from 1 species
GUACUCUGGUUUCUCUUCAGAUUGCAUAAAUCUUUCACCUUUUACUAAAGAUUUCCAUGGAGAGGAACAAUUCUGAGUCUUUAUCCAAUUUUUUGAGGCCUGUUUUCAGCAAGGCU